rnacentral:rRNA from 1 species
CCCUUAGAUGUUCUGGGCUGCACGCGCGCUACACUGAAGCUAUCAACACGUUUUCCCUCCCUGAGAAGGGCGAGUAACCUUUUGAAUCAGCUUCGUGGUAGGGAUCGGGGCUUGCAAUUGUUCCCCGUGAACCAGGAAUUCCUAGUAGACGCGAGUCAUAAGCUCGCAUCGAUUAAGUCCCUGCCCUUUGUACACACCGCCCGUCGCUACUACCGAUUGAACGUUUUAGUGAGGCAUUUGGACCGACGCAUCUCAGUUUAACCGCUGGUUUGUGUUGGAAAGACUUCCAAACUUGAGCGUUUAGAGGAAGUAAAAGUCGUAACA